GAGUUUGAUCCUGGCUCAGGAUGAACGCUGGCGGCGUGCUUAACACAUGCAAGUCGAACGGAAAUGACACGCUGAUGCGAUUUCGGUCAAAUCAUGUAUCAUUUUAGUGGCGGACGGGUGAGUAACGCGUGGGUAACCUGCCUUACACCGGGGGAUAACACUUAGAAAUAGGUGCUAAUACCGCAUAAGCGCACGGGGCCGCAUGGUCCUGUGUGAAAAACUGAGGUGGUGUAAGAUGGACCCGCGUCUGAUUAGCUAGUUGGCGGGGUAACGGCCCACCAAGGCAGCGAUCAGUAGCCGGCCUGAGAGGGUGGACGGCCACAUUGGGACUGAGACACGGCCCAAACUCCUACGGGAGGCAGCAGUGGGGGAUAUUGGACAAUGGGGGAAACCCUGAUCCAGCGACGCCGCGUGAGUGAAGAAGUAUUUCGGUAUGUAAAGCUCUGUCAGCAGGGAAGAAAGAAAUGACGGUACCUGACCAAGAAGCCCCGGCUAACUACGUGCCAGCAGCCGCGGUAAUACGUAGGGGGCAAGCGUUAUCCGGAAUUACUGGGUGUAAAGGGAGCGU
rnacentral:rRNA from 1 species